GCAAUUUGUUGGGAAUGAAAUAUGCCUUGAAAAACGCCCAAUUCCCGACCUGUGUUGUGUCUACUGUCAGUCCUUGGGCGUGAUUUUUCCUACUAACCGAUAUAGAAAAGAGAAAAAAUCUCCCUUCAAUUUUAGCUGAUACAUCUACAUGGAUUCCGAUUCUUACUCACCAACAAAAGCCCUAACCACAAGGUACAAAUGUUAUGCAUGCUACAAGCAAUAUAAGAAAAAGGAACAUCUUGUUGAACACAUGAAGAUCUCGUACCACUCAGCUCAUGAGCCCAGAUGUGCAGUGUGUCAGAAGCAUUGCAAAUCUUUUGAAUCUCUGAGAAUGCAUCUUACUGGUCCAUUGGCAAAAGCAAAUUGUUCACAGAUUUUCUCUGACCGAGGUUGCAAUCUUUGCUUGGAAGUUUUUGAUAGCCCCAAUUCUCUUGACAAGCACAGGGAAAUGUGCUGCCUAUCUGCAACUGCUUCCCUUGCAGCUAAUAUACCAACUUGCGCAGAAUCACAUAUUUAUAUUUCAGGAUCAGUUGAUGAAACUUAUGCUUGCAAAGGUGUUGAAGCCGUUGCUAUCGACUGUGAAAUGGUCGGUGGUGGAAGUGAUGGAUCACUUAGUCUUUGUGCUAGGGUGUGCCUUAUUGAUGAAGAUGAAAAUAUAAUUUUCCACUCGUAUGUUCAACCUCAAAUUCCUGUAACUAACUACAGAUAUGAAAUAACUGGCUUAACUGAAGAGCACCUAAGAGAUGCCAUGCCACUUAAGGAAGUGCAAGAUAAAAUUUUAGAAAUUUUGUACAAUGGGGAAUCUAUUGGAAAACUAAGAUUGAGUGGUGGAAAAGCAAGGCUUCUUGUGGGUCAUUCCUUGGACCAUGAUUUGGAUUGCUUGAGAAUGUUCUAUCCUGAUCAUCUGUUGAGGGAUACAGCAAAAUACCCUCCUUUGAUGAAGACUAAUCUGGUUAGCCACUCACUGAAGUACCUUGUGCAAUCAUAUCUAGGGUAUGAUAUUCAGACAGGGGUACAUGAUCCUUAUGAAGACUGUGUAUCAGUGAUGAGACUGUACAAGAGAAUGCGUGGCCAAAAUCAUCAGGUGGAAGGAUCAGGGAUAGAAAGUAUCUGUGAUGGUUUUGACUUCUGGAAACCCAAGGAACUUGAGAAGAUGACCCCAGAAGAGCUAUAUGAGAUCUCAAGAUCAAAUUACAGAUGUUGGUGUCUGGACUUAAAAGCCAGCAAUCCUGCUUGAUGUAAAUCUUCUGAACAAGUAGAAAAAUUGAGAGGUAAUGCCAGUUAUUUUCUUAUACACAGGCCACAAACUUUCUUUGUUGACAUUUGAAGAGGUUUGUAGGAUCAACCAUUCACUAGCCAGCAGCUUCUCAUAGAGCUGCAGUUCUUUCCCAGUUCAAGAGCUGUAAACGGGAUCCUGCAGUUCUGUCUCAUCUGUUGGUUUUGAGGAGUAUACCGAGCUAUUGAUUUUCCACCCAUUCUUAUUCCAGUGGCCAUCUUUUGCUGCUCACAGAAUAUGAACAUGAUGUCUAAGAUUUGAAAUAUUUUCAGAAAAUGAAUUAUUGGUCAGUGUGGGUGCUUGGGUGGAGAAAAAAGAAAUGGUUCUAUGUUGCUGCAUCUUGGCAACCCAAUAGUUUUUGUACGAUUACAUAAAUAUAAUAGUAUAUAUCUUUAAUAUUUUAA